rnacentral:rRNA from 1 species
UGGGGAAUAUUGGACAAUGGGCGAAAGCCUGAUCCAGCCAUGCCGCGUGUGUGAAGAAGGUCUUCGGAUUGUAAAGCACUUUAAGUUGGGAGGAAGGGCAGUUACCUAAUACGUGAUUGUUUUGACGUUACCGACAGAAUAAGCACCGGCUAACUCUGUGCCAGCAGCCGCGGUAAUACAGAGGGUGCAAGCGUUAAUCGGAAUUACUGGGCGUAAAGCGCGCGUAGGUGGUUAGUUAAGUUGGAUGUGAAAUCCCCGGGCUCAACCUGGGAACUGCAUUCAAAACUGACUGACUAGAGUAUGGUAGAGGGUGGUGGAAUUUCCUGUGUAGCGGUGAAAUGCGUAGAUAUAGGAAGGAACACCAGUGGCGAAGGCGACCACCUGGACUGAUACUGACACUGAGGUGCGAAAGCGUGGGGAGCAAACAGGAUUAGAUACCCCCGUAAUCCCUGAGCGGGCUGGCAAGGCGCAU